rnacentral:rRNA from 1 species
UGGGGAAUAUUGGACAAUGGGGGCAACCCUGAUCCAGCGAUGCCGCGUGUGCGAAGAAGGCCUGCGGGUUGUAAAGCACUUUGGUUGGGGAAGAAGGUUGGGCGUUGAAUAGAUGCCUGAAUUGACGUUACCCAAAGAACAAGCACCGGCUAACUCUGUGCCAGCAGCCGCGGUAAUACAGAGGGUGCGAGCGUUAAUCGGAAUUACUGGGCGUAAAGCGUGCGCAGGCGGUUUUGUAAGACAGACGUGAAAUCCCCGGGCUUAACCUGGGAACUGCGUUUGUGACUGCAAGGCUAGAGUAUGGCAGAGGGGGGUAGAAUUCCACGUGUAGCAGUGAAAUGCGUAGAUAUGUGGAGGAAUACCGAUGGCGAAGGCAGCCCCCUGGGUCAAUACUGACGCUCAUGCACGAAAGCGUGGGGAGCAAACAGGAUUAGAUACCCUCGUAGUCCCUGAGCGGGCUGGCAAGGCGCAU